AUUGAACGCUGGCGGCAUGCCUUACACAUGCAAGUCGAACGGCAGCAUGGAGAGCUUGCUCUCUGAUGGCGAGUGGCGAACGGGUGAGUAAUGCAUCGGAACGUACCGUGUAAUGGGGGAUAACGUAGCGAAAGUUACGCUAAUACCGCAUACGACCUGAGGGUGAAAGCAGGGGAUCGCAAGACCUUGCGUUAUACGAGCGGCCGGUGUCAGAUUAGCUCGUUGGUGAGGUAAAGGCUCACCAAGGCGACGAGCUGUAGCGGGUCUGAGGGGAUGAUCCGCCACACUGUGACUGAGACACGGCCCAGACCCCUACGGGAGGCAGCAGUGGGAAAUUUUGGACAAUGGGGGCAACCCUGAUCCAGCCAUGCCGCGUGAGUGAAGAAGGCCUUCGGGUUGUAAAGCUCUUUCGGCCGGGAAGAAAUCGCACAGGCUAAUACUCUGUGUGGAUGACGGUACCGGCAUAAGAAGCACCGGCUAACUACGUGCCAGCAGCCGCCGUAA
rnacentral:rRNA from 1 species